rnacentral:rRNA from 1 species
CAGCCGUAAACUAUGCGCGUUAGGUGUACUGGUGACCACGAGUCACCGGGGUGCCGAAGGGAAACCGUGAAACGUGCCGCCUGGGAAGUACGGUCGCAAGGCUGAAACUUAAAGGAAUUGGCGGGGGGAGCACCACAACAGGUGGAGCCUGCGGUUUAAUUGGAUUCAACGCCGGACAUCUCACCGGAUAAGACAGCUGAAUGAUUGUCAAUCUGAAGGUUUUACAUGACUAGCUGAGAGGAGGUGCAUGGCGUCAGUGACU